rnacentral:lncRNA from 1 species
AAACCCCUGGUUUAAACCACAGCAAAGUCCAUUUAGUGUAACAUGGACCCUUUAAUGAAGGAUAAAUGACAUUUUGCAGACACGUGUUGUGGGUCUGAGUCUCUGCUGUGGCUCAGUUCUGAUCUUGUGUCUGCUACAGUGAUAUGAGGCUGUUUGAGGCUCUGCUGUGAACGUUCACGACAGGGUUAUAGGUAUGAGUGGGGGUUUUUAUUUGACCCACAGAAGCAGCAGCUCAAGAGAUUUGGAGCAACAAAUACGUUUCCCUACAGAUGAACAACAAAAGUGGAGAUUUUAAAGAAAUAAGUUCAAACAUGUAGAAAGUUUGAUGUGAGUCAUGAUGAUCAAUAUGAUGAUCAUUUGAUUUAUGGACUACUUUACAGCAGAUUUCAUCACAAUAGAAGAAAUGCUUCUAGGAGUUGUGGAUGCCCAACAAAGAAAAAUGCUGAUGCUUGGUUCAAAAAUAUAUUUAGAGUUUUAACUUUAGCUCUUAAAAAUGUUAGUUUAAUUAAUUUAAGUUAAUGUGGAAUGUUUCCAAAACACAGAGAAAUAAAAGGUUUUAAACCACUUGUGUUUCUAUCUUU